rnacentral:rRNA from 1 species
GUGCGAAUGCAGACAUGAGUAGCGAUAAAGAGGGUGAGAUGCCCUCUCGCCGAAAGACCAAGGGUUCCUGCGCAAGGCUAAUCCGCGCAGGGUGAGCCGGCCCCUAAGACGAGCCCGAAGGGGGUAGUCGAUGGGAACCACGUUAAUAUUCGUGGGCCUGGUGGUGUGUGACGGAUCUCGUGUGUUGUACGUCCUUAUCGGAUUGGACGUGCCUCGAAGAGGUCCCGGGAAAUAGCCCCACCGUAUAGACCGUACCCGAAACCGACACAGGUGGUCAGGUAGAGUAUACCAAGGCGCUUGAGAGAAGUGUCCUGAAGGAACUCGGCAAAUUGCCUCCGUACCUUCGGAAGAAGGAGGCCCCAUGUAAGCGCAAGCUCUCAUGGGGGGCACAGGCCAGGGGGUAGCGACUGUUUAGCAAAAACACAGGGCUCUGCUAAGUCGGCUUCAAGACGACGUAUAGGGCCUGACGCCUGCCCGGUGCCUGAAGGUUAAGUGGAGGAGUGCAAGCUCUGAAACUGUCUCUUAUACACC